GCUGGGCGCGGUGGCGGGCGCCUGUAAUCCCAGCUACUUAGGAGGCUGAGGCAGGAGAAUUGCUUGAACCCAGGAGGCAGAGGUUGCAGUGAGCCGAGAUCGCACCACUGUACUCCAGCCUGGGCGACAGAGCAAGAAUCUGUCUCGA
ensembl:misc_RNA Metazoa_SRP Metazoan signal recognition particle RNA